rnacentral:lncRNA from 1 species
GUUUUUCGUUACUCGUUACGUUUCUCGUUAUAUUAUUCUGUGCUCAAUAAUAAUAUUAAAACGAAAUAGAUCGACGAACAUUUGUUUGCCAAAAAAGAGUUGUUACUAAAAUAUGCUCUAAAAAUUUACAUAUUCUAGAAAAUAAACAAUCAAAUCAAGUGUCAUUGUAGGAUGACAAUUUGCAAGUCCAACUCAAGUAGGUACUACAAGCCAGAGCCUAAAAUACUAUGUCUCCUGAAUUACAAAUGUGUGUCCGAAAUUUUAAAAGGUGUUUUUAGUUUUAAUUAUAGAAAUAACAAACAUAUUUGAAUUUAUACACAAAUGUAUUAUACAUUUUUAUUUCAAUAUAAGUUGAUAACAAUUUACUUGUUAUUUAUUUUAUACAAAUAUCAUAAACUUUAAUCACGUUCAUAUUAUACGUCUACAAACUAUUAGUUAUAUUUAUUUUGUGUAGCAUAAUUGUAAUUUAGCUCACAAGCAAUUUUUUCUAAUUUUUUUUUCUCUGAAAUUUGUGUUUUUGCAUGUUUACUUUGAUGGUACUUUCCAAAAAAAUCUCCCAAACAUCAUUUUGAAGCUAUGGUCAAAAAACCAGAAUGUUCAAUUUUUUUAAAAAAUCGCGUUUUUGAGUUUAAAACACCUUAAAUUUACAUUUUUGGAUUUUUUUUUUUUAGAAGUGGUAAUAAUUAUAUUCUUAACAUUUUAGUAAAAUCGGAAUUCACUUAUCGUACUUACUUUUUAUGUUAUUAAUAAACCACGUAUAACCUAAUUAUAAUGUUAUUUCAAUCAUUUGCAUGUAUUAAAGUAAAUCAUAAUUGAUUUUUCGAACUUUUUUUUCAUUUGAUGUGUAAUAACAUAGAAGUUUUUGGUAAAAUCAGAACUAACUAAUAUGUUUUCGUUAUUUAUGAACUAUAUAAGCGAAAACGCCAAGGGGCUAUUUCUCUGACAGUAAUUGAAAAAUCACAGUCUGGGACGCUAAUUGCCAAACAUAACACAUUAAAAUGCGUUCAUGGACAUCUUCUCAAAGUCUCAAGUUAUGUCUGAAAGUUAAUUGCAUUGACAAUUAUGUAUGGAGAUGUCACGAUUAUUCUAAGAAUUCACAUGGAAAAAAAGUAAAUUUUAAAACUUAAUUAAAUAUUUUGUUAUAAAUAACAAUAGUUUGAUGUUAUAAUUGUAUUAAUUUCACCAUGCCCCUCAGCUUUCCCUCCCUCCCCAUAAGGGUUUUUUCUUUUUAAAUUAUUUUGGAUUCAGUAAGUAAAAAAAAUAGUAUUAAAUAAACUAUAUUUUUCAAAAGAUAAAAUAUGAUAUUUAUGUAUCCAUAAGAAAAGAUACAUUUUUCCACUAUUCUUUCCAAACCAAAAAAUAUUAAUUAGUUCUGAUUUCAUCAAAAACUUCUUUAUGUUAUUACACACUAAAUGAAAAAAAUUUCCAAACAAUCAAUUUUGAUUUACUUUAAUAUGAAAAUGAUUGAAAUAACAUUAUAAUUAAGUUUAACAUGGUUUAUUAUUUAUAACGUAAAAAGAGUAAGUACGAUAGGUGAACUCUGAUUCCACCAAAAUGUUAAGCAUAUAAAAACAACCAUUUCUAAAAAAAAAAAAAUUUUAGAAAAAUCGAGUAUUUUGAAGUUUUUUAACCAUCAUUUCCAAAUGAAGUUUGAGCAAAUAUUUUUAAAAGUAUCAUCAAAUUAAGCAUGUAAAAACACAAAUUUUGGAAAAAAAAUUCCAAAAAGUUCCUUGGGAGCUAAACUGCAUUCGUUUCAAAAUUUCGGAUGUUACAAACCCCAGUUUUUUUUUUUUUUUUUUAUAAGAAUCUGUUUAAGAUAACAAUUGAAUUAAAAAGUGUGUGAAAUCAAAUAUAUUUUAAACCCUACUGCAAGCUGUGUAAGUACAUAGUAUAAACUGUAUUAAUUAUAGAACAUAUUACACAUUAAUUUGGAUAAUAUAUUUAUAUAACAUUGUUAGCCUAGAAAUGCCACAAGCUUAUGUUUAAAAUAUGAAUGGAUAAAAAAAUUACUGUGAGGAACAAAAAGAAAACUGUUUAAAACUGGAGGUGGUUCCCACACAAAUAGAUAAUUAUCUUCCAGUAAAUUUAAGAAACGGUUAUAUAUUAUUAUACAAUUGUCUGACAGAUUACUCCUACCUCUGGAUAGAUAUUCUAGUAAAUUAAAUUAUAACAACAAGCCAUAUCCUUAAUUUGUAUAAUAUGGAAUCAAAUUUACCUAUUACUUUCACAUAUUAAUAUGUACUAUAAGUAGUAAGUGUCAAUUAGCAUUUAGUUAGUAAAUUAAUUUAAUUAAAUUCAAUUAAUUUUCUUUUUAUAGUUAAAGUAAGCCUUUUAAAGAAAAACAAAUGAAUAAUAGAAUCAUUUAAAGAUAUGUUUCCUGAUCACAGUCAUACACUCAAUAGUGUAACUCACAUUGUUAAUCAAGGUAAAUUGUUAUACAUAUAAUAUUGAAUAACCGUUUAUUUAACUGUUCACAAUAAACAUUUUAGGCAUCAAUAACUGUGGUAAUUAUACUAAUAGUAGUAAUUUGCUAAAUAAUACACCCUUUGAAAAAUAUGUAAUUAACAAUUUAUCAAACCAUCCAAGGUAAAUGGUAAAAGUCUAAUGGAAUUACUAAUUAACUGUCUUGAACUCAUGGAUUACACAAAACUUUUAAGUCUAUUGGAAAACAUCAAAAACUAACAAGUAAAUAAAGACUCCUACAUUACUUACUCAGAACCUAAAAGUAAAAUUUAUAAGGUCGGUAUCAUAAUAAACAUCCGAAAAUAAGGAACACUAGACCAGAAAAUUAAACCAACAUUCUUCGAAUUGGUGUACCACUGUUGUAGGUAAGAAUUUGGAAAGGUAAGAUGUAGAGGGGAAUUUAAUGUUUUUAUGUAUCCAAUAAUUAAUCAUUGCUAAAGAAAAACUAUUUUGAGCAGAGUUUAGUUAUACAUGUUUUAAAAGGCCUGUUAGGUGGUCAGUCUAACAAUUUUAUCCUCAGAGCACCUAUUAAAUAAAUAUUACUUAUAGAACUAGCAAAAUUAUAAUUUUCUAUAAAUAGCACACCAACUCACAUAUAUAUAUAUCUAUAUAUUAUGGAUUACCAAUUGAUAUGUUGAGCUUAGGUUGCAUUCUUGUUGAGCUAUUUACUGGAUUUCUAUUAUUUCCAGGGAAAGAUGAAACUGAUCAAUUAGCUUGUAUUAUUGAACUUUUAGUUGUUCCCUCAGAUCAGAAUCUACAAUUGUAUGUACAAACAAAUGAAAAAAUUUGGAAUUUAUUUAAGAUUUUAUUAUUCUAAUAUAAAAGGUAAUAUAAUAUAUAGUAAAAAUUAAUAAUAUCAAAAAUAACAAAUUUAUUAAAUUUUUUUUUUAUAGAUUUUGACAUUUUUAAUUGACUAAAAAAUAAUAUAGAACCUUGUGGAACAUUAUACAAAUUAUGAACAAAAAUAGCACCCUACAGAUUGUCUAAAGAAAAAGAUAAAUAUAAGAUUUAACUUUUAUUUAAAGCUGAGCUUUAAAUAAACCCACUAGUCAUUUACUAGUAAAUAUUGUUUUACAUAAUACACAUUUUAUAAUUAUUUUAAUAAGACUGAUAAUCAUAUUAUAGUCUUAUAAAGUAUUUGAGUACAUAUUAUAUUAACCCUUCAAUGCCCAUUGCAAUUAAUAUACAACACAUUCAAAUAAUAUGUUUCUACAUUACAUAUAUGGAUUACAAAAAAUGUUUUUUUUUUAUUUCGAUAUGCGAAUGUAACAUAAUUUAUAAAAUAUCUUUUGAGUGAAAAUAAUUUUUUAGAUCAUUUUGAAAUGAAACUUAAAAUUAUUAUAAGAUAUAUAUCAUGAAAAUGUUUAGUAAUUUAUAAUUCACAAAUAAUUAAUUUUGCAGUUAUUAAAUUUAAGUUUAUUUUAGUAAUUAUUAAUUAUAAAAGUACAAUUUUUUCAUACAAGCUCAACCACAGGAUUUUUAAAAUUUUGUUGCCAAAAUUCAGCGCAUCAAAAUUAGUUUAAGAUAUUUUUGGUGUUAAAAAAAAAUUGGAUGUUGAAGGGUUAAUGUGAUAUUAGAUAUGUACUGUAUUUCAUAUAUAAUAUAGUAUGUAUUAUUACUCGUUUAUAUGUUAUAGGUACUUAUAAUAUAUUUUUAACCUAAUUUUUAAUUUUUUAGAUUGAUAACAAUUUUGAACAUAUUUUUCCAGAUAAAAGUUUUAAACUAUUUUAAGAGUUUGAUAUAUUAAAAUAAAAAUUUAAAAAAGAUGGACAUACCUUGCCACUGCAAGGAUAAUGAAGAUGAGUGCAGCCACUAUUAUAGGUUAUUUAAUGUGUACCUGUAAGCAAUGUUAAACCAUUGCUUACGAAAAACGAUUCUGAGCGGAGUUCAGUUGAUAGUGAUACUUUGUCAAUAAUAUACAUACAUACCAUAUUGUAGUAAAAUAAUUAAAUAGGCCUUAUAUAUUUUCUUUAAUAUUUGUUUAAUAUUGUACGUUUCCCCCCUGUUUUAUCCAUGUAUUAUGAAAACACCAGGGAAAAUCAAAAAAUACCUUCUAAAGUACCACCUCAGUCAGAUUUCCUUUCAAAAAAAAUGCUAUUGUCAAUCUGAGCAAAAUUGCUGGUAGAAAAGUUAUUCACAGAAAAAAAAAAUCAUUUAGAUUAUAUUUAUUAUAAUUAUAAUUUUUUCAUAAAUUUUCCUAGUUUUUUUUUUUUGAAGGGGAUUUUGCAAGUCUUCUGGUAAAGAAGUUGCGCACAGAUAUAAAAAAAAAAAAAAAUCUUUGUUAAACUAUAAGCUUCUUUGCUCCAUUUAGAAUCUAAAACAUUGUAAAACCUAUACAUUCCUUGCUCAAAUAAAAAUUAUCUAAAAUCUAAAAUCUUUACCAAACAACAAAUUUGGAUUCCCAACUAAUAAAUGAAUUAAAUGCUCUUUAUUACAAACCAGGUAUUUAUUGAUUUUUUUUUUUUAAUUUAUAGUGUAAUGUAUUGGUUUUACAAUGAUGUUUAUUUAUUUACUUGGUUUUUUUUCUGUGAACACUUUUUCUACCAGAAAACAUACUCCGAUUAAUAAUUAUAGGACCUUUUCUGAAAGAAAAUGUUCUCUGGGUGGUACUUUAGAGAUGUCAUUUUUUUAUUUUAUUUAUAAUUAUAAUUAUUUAUAGGAAAAAUAUAGAGCCUAUUUAAUUAUUUUACUAUAAUAUGAUAUAUAUAUUAUUGACAAAUCAUUACUAUCAGUUGAACUCCGCUCAAAAUUGUUUUUUCACUAGCAAUGGUUUAUCAACAUUAAAUGCCUGUCUGUAUCCUAUCUUCCCAACUUCCCACCUACAACAGUGGCUGCACCAUCCUCAGUAUCAGCUCAGUAUAUCUGUCCUUUUUUUAUUAUUUAAUAAAAUUAGCUCAUGAGUAUUUUUAUGUUAUUUUUAAGUGAUGACAGCAGAUUUUUUCAACCCCUUAUAUAAGCAAACCUGGAACAUCAAAAUCUUGCAUAACAAUAAGACCAUUGAAAGUAGAUUAAGCCACUUCAUUUAUUUUUAAUAUUAUGGUUAGUUUUUAAUAAUAAAUUAUAAACAUCCAACAAUGUUAAAACUUAUAAAUGGAUAUUUUUGUCAAUAAAUUAAUAUGCUUAGAAGUAAAAUAAAUAGAGCAUUUUCAACUGGAUCAAAAUAAAUAUAUUAAAUGAAUUAAAUUGUAUAUUUGUUUACUGAUAGAUUUUUUUUCAUUAACAUAAUAAAGUUAAGUUAUCAUAAUUUAUUGUCCCUUAACUUUCCUCCUAUAAUUUAUAUUAUUAUUAAAAUUAAUGUUUCUAUCACAGAAUUUUCAACUCUAACAUGUAUAGUAACUCUGUUUAGUACUUUCAAGGUUAAUAAAAAUUUGUUAAAAAGAGGUUUAUUUAGAAUAUAAUUUCUUCAGUAAUCAUAAGUAUUCAAAUAAUUUAUUACAAAUAUAAUACAUUAUUAUUUUAUACUUAUAGCAAGUAAUUUUUAAAUAAAGUAAAUGAAUAUAUAAAAAAAAAAAUAAACAUAGACAAUUUCAUCAUCAGGUAUAUCCCAGACAAAAUGUAAACCACGACUGAAUAUACAAAAUUAAAUGAAGGAAAACAUAGAAAAAAAAAAAUUAUAUAAAUUGGUUGUUAUACAUAUAAUAUAGAAAUAAUGUAUUUUAAUAGAAGAGAUAAUUUAAAAUGAGUUAAUAUUAGACAUAGUUAUGUUAGGAAAUAUACAUUAU